UUCCAGACUCCUACGGGAGGCAGCAGUGGGGAAUUUUGCGCAAUGGGGGGAACCCUGACGCAGCAACGCCGCGUGCGGGACGAAGGCCCUCGGGUUGUAAACCGCUUUCAGCAGGGAAGAUCCAAGACGGUACCUGCAGAAGAAGCUCCGGCUAACUACGUGCCAGCAGCCGCGGUAAUACGUAGGGGGCGAGCGUUAAUCGGAAUUACUGGGCGUAAAGCGCUCGUAGGCGGUAUGUCAAGUCAAGGGUGAAAUCCCCGCGCUCAACGUGGGAACUGCCUUUGAAACUGGCAAACUGGAGUGUGUGAGAGGAUAGUGGAAUUCCAGGUGUAGGAGUGAAAUCCGUAGAUAUCUGGAGGAACAUCAGUGGCGAAGGCGACUAUCUGGCACAUAACUGACGCUGAGGAGCGAAAGCGUGGGUAGCAAACAGGAUUAGAUACCCCGGUACC
rnacentral:rRNA from 1 species